UACGGAGGGGGCAAGCGUUAUCCGGAAUUAUUGGGCGUAAAGCGUCCGCAGGUGGCUUUCCAAGUCUGCUGUCAAAGCCCGAGGCUCAACCGCGGAACGGCGGUGGAAACUGGAUGGCUUGAGUACGUGAGGGGUAGGGGGAAUUGCCAGUGUAGGGGUGAAAUGCGUAGAUAUUGGGAAGAACACCAGCGGCGAAAGUGGUCUUCUGGGACGUUACUGACACUCAUGGACGAAAGCUAGGGGAGCGAAAGGG
rnacentral:rRNA from 1 species